rnacentral:tRNA from 11 species
CGAAAUCGGUAGACGCUACGGACUUAAAAUCCGUCGACUUUAGAAAUCGUGA